rnacentral:rRNA from 1 species
AUUGAACGCUGGCGGCAUGCCUUACACAUGCAAGUCGAACGGUAACAGGUUAAGCUGACGAGUGGCGAACGGGUGAGUAAUGUAUCGGAACGUGCCCAGUCGUGGGGGAUAACUGCUCGAAAGAGCAGCUAAUACCGCAUACGACCUGAGGGCGAAAGCGGGGGAUCGCAAGACCUCGCGCGAUUGGAGCGGCCGAUAUCAGAUUAGGUAGUUGGUGAGGUAAAGGCUCACCAAGCCGACGAUCUGUAGCUGGUCUGAGAGGACGACCAGCCACACUGGGACUGAGACACGGCCCAGACUCCUACGGGAGGCAGCAGUGGGGAAUUUUGGACAAUGGGCGCAAGCCUGAUCCAGCCAUGCCGCGUGCGGGAAGAAGGCCUUCGGGUUGUAAACCGCUUUUGUCAGGGAAGAAAAGGUUCUGGCUAAUACCUGGGACUCAUGACGGUACCUGAAGAAUAAGCACCGGCUAACUACGUG